GGCCUUGUGGUGUAAUGGUUAUCACUUCAGAUUCUGAAUUUGAGAUUUCUGGCGACCCUGGUUCGAUUCCAGGCAAGGCCU